CAAUAGCGUAUAUUAAAGUUGUUGCAGUUAAAAAGCUCGUAGUUGGAUUUCUGGUAGGAGUGACCGUUCCGAACUUGAUUGUUCGUGUAUUGUGUUUUCUCCAGCCAUCCUUGUGGAGAACUUUUCUUGCAUUAAUUUGUAGGGAUUGGGACCCGCAUCGUUUACUGUGAAAAAAUUAGAGUGUUUAAAGCAGGCAAUCGCUUGAAUACAUUAGCAUGGAAUAAUAAGAUAGGACUUUGGUACUAUUUUGUUGGUUUGCAUACCAAAUUAAUGAUCAACAGGAACAGUUUGAGGAUAUUCGUAUGAACAUGUCAGAGGUGAAAUUCUUGGAUUUUGAUCAGACGAACUACUGCGAAAGCAUUUAUCAAGGAUGUUUUCAUGAA
rnacentral:rRNA from 1 species